rnacentral:rRNA from 1 species
AGCAACGCCGCGUGAGGGAUGACGGCCUUCGGGUUGUAAACCUCUUUUAGCAGGGAAGAAGCGAAAGUGACGGUACCUGCAGAAAAAGCGCCGGCUAACUACGUGCCAGCAGCCGCGGUAAUACGUAGGGCGCAAGCGUUAUCCGGAAUUAUUGGGCGUAAAGAGCUCGUAGGCGGUUUGUCGCGUCUGCUGUGAAAUCCGGAGGCUCAACCUCCGGCCUGCAGUGGGUACGGGCAGACUAGAGUGCGGUAGGGGAGAUUGGAAUUCCUGGUGUAGCGGUGGAAUGCGCAGAUAUCAGGAGGAACACCGAUGGCGAAGGCAGAUCUCUGGGCCGUAACUGACGCUGAGGAGCGAAAGGGUGGGGAGCAAACAGGCUUAGAUACCCUGGUAGUCCACCCCGUAAACGUUGGGAACUAGUUGUGGGGUCCAUUCCACGGAUUCCGUGACGCAGCUAACGCAUUAAGU